rnacentral:misc_RNA from 1 species
AAAAAAUCGUUAAUGGUGGUUCCAGAGCCUAUUCGUAAUGACCCUUUUCCUGAAAAUCGCCGUGAAGACGAUGCUGGUGCUGCUUUUGUUCUUGAAUCAAAAGGGGAAUGGUGGCAUGCUGGAUUUCAUUUGACGACGGCGAUAGUAGGACCAACGGUGCUGACAUUGCCGUAUGCUUUCAGAGGUUUAGGAUGGGCAUUGGGGUUUAUUUGUUUAACGGUGAUGGGUUUGGUUACCUUUUACUCAUAUUAUCUCAUGUCUUUGGUUCUUGAUCACUGUGAGAAGUCUGGUCGCCGGCAUAUCAGAUUCAGAGAACUUGCUGCUGAUGUUUUAGGUUCUGGCUGGAUGUUUUAUUUUGUGAUAUUCAUUCAGACAGCAGUUAACACUGGCAUUAGCAUAGGAGCAAUUUUGCUUGCCGGAGAAUGCGUUCAGAUCAUGUACUCCGAACUUUCACCACAUGGGCCACUGAAAUUGUAUCACUUCAUUGCAAUGGUUACAGUAAUAAUGAUAUGUCUCUCUCAAUUUCCGUCCUUCCACUCCCUGAGGCACAUCAACUUAGCAUCGUUGUUUCUGAGCUUGGGCUACACUUUCCUAGUUGUUGGUGCUUGUAUUCGUGCUGGUACUUCAAAAAAUGCACCUCUGAGGGAUUACUCCUUAGAAACCUCACACCUAUCACGGUUAUUUAGCGCUUUCACGUCUAUCUCCAUUAUUGCAGCUAUUUUUGGGAAUGGAAUACUACCAGAAAUACAGGCAACUCUCGCGCCACCAGCAACAGGAAAGAUGUUGAAAGGCCUUAUGUUGUGCUACUCUGUAAUCUUGGUUACUUUCUACGCUGCAUCUGUUUCCGGAUAUUGGGUUUUUGGAAACAAAUCCAAUUCAAACAUUUUAAAGAGCUUAAUGCCAGAUGAAGGACCUUCCUUGGCACCGACAUGGGUAUUAGGUCUUGCGAUUGUCUUUAUUCUUCUUCAGCUCUUCGCCAUUGGUUUGGUAUAUUCUCAAGUUGCUUACGAAAUCAUGGAAAAGAACUCGGCUGAUGCAAACAAGGCUGUGUUCUCUCUUAGAAACCUAAUCCCCCGUAUAAUCCUCAGAACGUUGUACAUGAGCCUUUGCGGGUUCUUUGCAGCUAUGUUGCCAUUCUUUGGUGACAUUAACGGUGUUGUAGGAGCCGUUGGCUUUAUACCUCUCGAUUUCAUUCUCCCAAUGCUACUUUACAACAUAACUUUCAAACCAAAGAAAUCAUCUAUUACCUUUUGGGUAAAUACUUCUAUAAUGGUUAUAUUCUCUUGUGCUGGUCUUCUUGGAUCCUUUUCUUCUAUAAGAAAAUUGGUUCUAGAUGCCAAUAAAUUCAAGCUUUUUAGUAGCGACGUUGUUGAUUAGCCUCUUUGUUUUAGAUGACAAAUGUAUACUAUUGUGCUUAAGCCAUAUGUAUGAAAGUUGUUGAUAGUGAGGUUCCCUACAACCCGACCCCAACUAGCUUGGGAUUGAAGCGUAGUUGUUGUUUAUAUGUAUAGAAGUUGUAUAUCUAUCGAAUUGCGUGAAUAUAUG